ensembl:lncRNA
CAUCACAGCAUACAGUAUGCUGUCACAUUCUAGUGCUGUAUAUAAAUGUUAACCCUGCUAUUUAUUUUCAAUUUAAAAUGCAUUAAUAUUAGCUUUAUUGUGAUGGUAAAUCUUAUAAUGAAGACAGUUGAUUAAUGUUUUUUUUUUUUUUUUAAUGAAGGACAGGCAAAGACAAGAAUGCAAGAAUGAACCUCAGUGCAAUGAUGAAUGUGUCUUUUAUUUUUCAUUGCCUCAAGACAGAUUCAGCUACCCUUGAACUUCUCAGUGUUUCACCUGCUUCUUUCAAGACUCACCACAAAAAUAACCUCUCAACCUUCGGUCACAGAUGAAAAAUGACACUAUGAAAAACACUGAUUUUUUCUCUUAACUUUUCACAUUAAUUUACAUCUGAUUAGGAAAGCUCAAGUUCACUGAGGGAGGAAAAUGGGGCUAGAGACCAGAUUUUAAUUUAUGAAAUUUUAUUCUGAAUUUCUGAACAGCUUAUGAAAUCAUCAAUUGUUAGUCAGUGGCAGACUUUCUGUUAACUCCAGUAAAGAUUUGGAUCAGUUUCUUAGAAUUAUAAAGCCACAAAGUACAUAAUUCUCAUUGUGUCUAUAGGUGCCUAGAAUCCGUGUUACUGCAAAACUUAUCUUUAGUACUUAUUAAUUCAAAGAACACUGAUGAAAAACACCAGCUCUUCCUAUAAAAAAUGGGAUUAAUGCUCCAUUUGCACAACUUUUUAAAAGCAUGGCAUAUAUGUAUGAUUAAUAUGAUUUUUACAGCAGAAGGAUGAAAAGUAACAGUCUGCACACAUCACUUGCUGCCAGUUUAUCAGAGCACACAUUGAUUUCAAGUGUUUGAUUUUUCAUGUUACUAAGAAAGCAUGAGAUUUGGAUGAACAGCCCUCUCCAGGGAUUUGUCAUACUCAAGUAACCAAUCUCUUCUCUUGGACUCAGAUGGUGUGCACAGAACAGAUACACCAACUACCUUAAUUAAGUGCUGUAAAUUUUAAUUUAGUGUCUGCAGAAUAAAUUAGGUUGUUCAAAAGAAAUCUAACUUACAGGUCACCAUAUUAAUAAUUGUGGUGUGUUGUCCAAUACUAUAUAGCAUAUGUUUAUCAAGCAGUCUUUCUACAGAUCCACCACCUCUCCUAUAUUUUUCACAAAGCUUACAUAAUUCUGAAUAUUAAUAGAUAUCUCUUCUUCUGGUCUUUUUACUCACGGACUAGCUCAAGAAAGGCAGAGGUACUAGACACAUAAUUAAGCUCAGCCAGCAGCAGAACACAUAUCUUCUAUUCUUCUCUGAGUUUCUAAAACCAAAAACAAUUUCAUUGCUCUCAUAACUUGUCUUCCAACUAUCUUUUGUGAAAGAUGUAAUUCUUGCCAUAUGGAGUUUGCAUUCCGAGAUUUGUCUUGUCCAAUAUUGUAUCCUCUUUAUCUCUGAAUAUAGUUAUACUUUCUUUCCCUCCCUUUGUUAUAUCGUCACAUUCAUUUGAAACAAGAGUUUUCUAUAACACAAAGUAAUAAUACCCAUUUCUGCCUAUUUCAUAUUUUGAUUUCUUCAUAAAAUUAACAACCUAGAAAAGUAUAUGCCUGAGUUAUCGACAUUAAUCUAUUCUAGUGGUCCCAUGCAUUGUCAACAUGAUAUUGAAGAUUUUGUAGAACUCCGUGAGAUAUGUCUGUGAAUAAUUUGGUUUGCAGAAGACACAAACUAUAAAAUAUUGCUAUUGCUUUUCCUAACACAAGAAAAAAAAUCAAAAUUAUUCCAAUAUUCCAUCUAAGGUAAUAAUAUUUUAUGGAAGUUUUUUGUUUGUUUGUUUGUUUGUUUUCCCUAGUAAAGAUCAUUAAAAAACUGUUGGCAGUGUUUACUUGUUUGUUUAUUUGGAAGAACAAACAAUACUGUAAAUGUUCGUACUGUGUAAAUGAUUCAAGAGUUCCAAAUUGAGUAUUUCUGUCUCAAAUAUAUGUCUGACUUGUCAAAUGCAAACAAAGUGUGGCAAGAUGUUUGAUGUGAGCAUUUGACAUCAAAGGAAAACUCUGAAUUUUGAAUGGGUAGCUGAUCUCUUGAUGGUUUUGAAAGUAAAUACUUUGAAUGUGAAAGAAAAGAGGCUAAGAUUUUACAGAUGAAUUGUCAAAACUAUUACAAAAUAUUAAGAUUCAAUACUCAAGAAGCAUUUUUUAGGUUCUUUCAUUUUUAAAAUUAAAUGAUACUCAGAUUCUUGGGAACAGAAGAAAUUGAAAAAAAUUUCUUAAUGACUUUCUGUUUAUUUACUUUCAAGUCAGACAAUGUCAAAAACUGCCAGCGUACUCAGAAGUUUGGAGUAUUAUUGACUAAUAGCAGAAAGAUAUUUCAAAUUGCUUUUGCUUAUUUCACUGCCUUGUUCAUUUGAACUUAUAGCAAUAAUUUUGAAAUCUCUUAAGUGGAUCAAUCAAAU